UGAGGAGACUCUUUCCUAGUACGAGAGGAUUGGAAAGAACGGACCUCUGGUGUGCCAGUUGUCGCGCUAGCGGCAUCGCUGGGUAGCUAUGUCCGGACUGGAUAAGCGCUGAAAGCAUCUAAGCGCGAAGCCAACUCCAAGACUGGUCAUCCCUUGAGACACCUGGUAGACCACCAGGUUGAUAGGCCGGAGGUGUAAGGGCGGCAACGUCCUCAGCUUACCGGUACUAACCAGUCGAUCGGCUUGAUCUC
rnacentral:rRNA from 1 species